GCCUCUGAUUGUUGAGGUAAAAAAAAAAAAAAAAGCUAACAUCAGCUGCAGCAGAGCUGAUUUCUAAUGUAACCCCACACAUCUUUGCUUACAGUUUUGCGAAGCCUACUUUAAUUGUCUUUCAAACCAUUUUUUCGCUUCUUGUACCUUAUGUUUUUGUCGCACCCAUUACACUGUGAGGAAAAAUGUAUUUAACGCUCAACUUUUCAACUUCCCACGAGUCCAACAUGUCAGGUGUUGACCCUCAGAGACUGCUGGAGCUGACUAACCGGUCAGUCAAAAUAAGCAUAAUUAUCGUUUUGGGCGCGAUGAUCACUUUGGGAAAUAUUGCCGUUCUCCUGGUUAUUACUUCCUCCGUGGCUGGCUGGUCAAGAAACUCUCGGUAUUUUCUCCUCUCUCUCACUGCGGCAGACUCUGCGUUUGGACUGCUGGUCAUGCCCUUGAAUCUCUGGGUGAGUCUGCUAAAGGACUACACUGAAGGGCCAGACGCUCUUUGUCAUGUCGUGGCCUUUUGCAAUGCCACCGUCUACUCCACCUGUAUGUAUACACUGGCCACGAUAAGCCUGGAGAGGUACAUUGCAGUGUUUUACCCGCUUCAAUACUCAUUUAUGUUGACAAGAAAAAGGACACUUCUCCUGAUUGCCUUCGCCUGGUGCUUCCCUCCCUUUCUACUGUUGCCAAUAUCAUUUCCAGAUGGCAUCAUCGAGGUUCAUUUUUCUACUGCAUCCCUGGUCUGCAAUCCGUCCUACUCCACAAAUGUUGGAUACACUCUAAGCUUGACCUGCUUUAUAUUUUCCCCCUGCUCCAUCAUCAUGACAUAUGCAAACCUGAGAGUGUGGUGCGCUGCCAAGAGGCAGAGACUGAAACUGCGCAAAUACGACUGUGCGCGUCGCAGCAGACACAACAUGGCAUCCAGAGUGCUUGUGCCUGUGGUGGCAGCCUACUACACCUGUUGGACUCCCUGCAUGGCAGCUAUGAUCUACAAUGCAGUCUCUGGUAGCAGUGUACCAGAGUGGAUUGAGUUUGUGGUGGUAUGGCUGCCAACUUCCAAUGGUUUCCUCAACUGCAUCUUCUACUUCUGGAUUAACCGAAACUUCCGCAGGAAAUUUCACCUUGUGCUCCAGAGGCUGGCUCUGGCCCUCUGCCCCAAACUGGCUGACAGCCUAGGGUACAGCAGCACUUCAAAGACACAGUUAGUGUCAGGAAUUCUGGAUAAAAACAACAGUGUCCAUGAGCGUUCUUCCAGCGUAUCCUCUACCUGCACCCUGUUAAGUUUGGCUUAGGACAUCUGCAUCUGAAGAGCACCAUUGGCAUGGUAAGGGACAUAGUCACUGACCUCUGUUGUGUGGUGCUUUGUAUUGUCUGGUCAACUGAAGCCAAGUUAUUGACAUAUUCCAACAUAAGCUAUCAAGGGUAAGAGGUAGACUCAUUGUAAUGGGUUGCAAUGCAAACAGGUUGAUACUAAGACAGACUGUGGUAGCAAGUACUUGACAUAACCACUACAUCAAAGCAAUUUGAAUUAUUUUGAUUAU